rnacentral:lncRNA from 1 species
UGAUCUUUAGAUCUCACAUGAUGUCCGAAGAAUACAAGCUACAAAAGGAUCAGCACCUCAAGGAAUUCUAAGGCAUUACAAGGCCAGUGUGUGC